rnacentral:rRNA from 1 species
CUUGUACACACCGCCCGUCACACCAUGGGAGCGGGUUCUGCCAGAAGUAGUUAGCCUAACCGCAAGGAGGGCGAUUACCACGGCAGGGUUCGUGACUGGGG